AUUGGAAGGGGUGUAUUUAUUAGAUAAAAAACCAACGCCCUUCGGGGCUUCUUGGUGAUUCAUGAUAACUUCACGGAUCGCAUGGCCUUGCGCCGGCGACGGUUCAUUCAAAUUUCUGCCCUGUCAACUUUCGAUGGUAAGGUAUUGGCUUACCAUGGUUUCAACGGGUAACGGGGAAUUAGGGUUCGAUUCCGGAGAGGGAGCCUGAGAAACGGCUACCACAUCCAAGGAAGGCAGCAGGCGCGCAAAUUACCCAAUCCCGACACGGGGAGGUAGUGACAAUAAAUACUGAUACAGGGCUCUUUUGGGUCUUGUAAUUGGAAUGAGUACAAUUUAAACCUCUUAACGAGGAACAAUUGGAGGGCAAGUCUGGUGCCAGCAGCCGCGGUAAUUCCAGCUCCAAUAGCGUAUAUUAAAGUUGUUGCAGUUAAAAAGCUUGUAGUUGAAACUUGGGCCUGGCUGGCAGGUCCGCCCCACCGCGUGUACUUGUCCGGCCGGGCCUUUCCUUCUGGAGAACCUCAUGCCCUUCACUGGGUGUGCUGGGGAACCAGGACUUUUAC
rnacentral:rRNA from 1 species